UGACAGCUAAUAGGCUUUCCCGGGAAAUUCACGACUAGCUAGCUUACUCUACUCGAAUACAGCAAAUACAUCAUAGAUCACAACGUGACGAAGAUCUAUACGAAGAUGGAAGAGAUCCAGCUGAGGACAUUUAAACAAAUGUACCUAUUCAGUAUUGGGCUAAAUUAACUGUGUGUAGAAGGCUGUCCACCCCAGGCAGUCCGUCUCAUGCCAACCAGAGACACGGGUUGGCAUGAGACAGACCACACUCAACAGCACGGUCAAGAACACCACUCCAUGCUCCAGAGCCUACAACUGAGCUUGCCAGGUGGUGGAAAACAGGGAAAGACAGUGAUAUGGACAUGUACCACCAGAAUUCUGCCCCAGCAGGACCCCUGGGGUGCAAUUGGAUUCAACUGAAGAUCCUAGUCCCAUAAACGUAUUCAAGCUGUACUUUGAUGAAAAGGUAGCAAAGACACUGUGUGACAACACUUAUAAUAUGGCAACCAGGAAUGUUGCUGCAGACUAAACAUUUUUUCAAAGAUUGUCUCCAAUCAACCCCCUUGAGUUUUUGGGAAUGCUGCUCUACAUGGCAAUUGUAAAGGUUCCAGCUGUGAAAGACUAUUGGAGACAAAAAAAUCUUUUUUACAGUGCCAUUUCCUGCAACAGCAAUGUCAAGGGGCCGGUUCAGUGUUAUAUCCUGGAACCUUCAUAUGAGCGACCCAUUGCAAGAUUUCCUAAAUGACAGGAAAAGGGGGACAGCAGACUAUGACACUUUAUCUAGACUGAAGCCACUCAUGGAAUCAAUCACAACGGCUCGCAAAGCCUUCUACCAUCCACGCAAAAACAUUUCUGCAGAUGAGAGGAUGGUGGCAUCAAGGGCCAAAAUAAGUAUGAAGCAAUACAUGAAGGCCAAACCAACAAAAUGGGUCUUCAUUUUGUUUUAGCAGACUCCCACAAUGGAUGUACCACAGUUACAUCCUGUACAAGGAGCUUUGCACUCAGACAGACUCCCGCCAAGUCGCACAGGAACUUUGUGCGGGUUGUCGUUGCAGGUUCCUGCACCAGCGAGACACACUGGGCAUACCCCUCAGCAACCCUUGAUCCAAGGCAACAACUGGAUGCCUAAGAUGUGUCAAAUGCACCCAGGAUGGAAAAAUAAAUCUCACUCCUUGGAAGUGCUUUGAAUGUGAUGUGCCGAUCUGUCUAAUUCUGGACAGGAACUGUUUCCACUUGUGGCACAAAUAGUGGUUAGCCUCUAGUGUGCCAAUUGAAAAUGUCACUCCACUACAACACUACGCUACAUGCACAAAUAUUUUUUUAUACUAAUAAAUAUUUUCCUUAAUGCGUGUCCCCCAGGGAGAUUGGUGUUUACAGUAAAGUUCUUUAUAAACUUAAUAUCUGGUGUUAAAAAGCUAAUUCAUAAUUGUUUGCAUUUCUUUAUAUAAUAAAGAAAACAAGAAUUUCAACAUGCAUUUUUCAUUUUUCUCUUCAUGUUACAUUACUACUCAUGUUGGUGUCAGUAAGUCAGCAAGCACAUCACACACUUGUAGGAGAGAUUGUGCUGAAUCCAUAGAGCCCCAGCACUUGAUGGUCCUCUUACAGAAAUGCCUGUAGAAGUCGAAAUGUCAAGGUAGUGACAAAUGGCCAAAAAUGCCUUAGGGCUCAGAGGGAAGCCGUUACAGUAAUCAACCCAACUAGAG